GACGAACGCUGGCGGCGUGCUUAACACAUGCGAGUCGAACGAAGAGCGAUGAAAGCUUGCUUCUAUCAAUCUUAGUGGCGAACGGGUGAGUAACGCGUAAUCAACCUACCCUUCAGAGGGGGACAACAGUUGGAAACGACUGCUAAUACCGCAUACGAUCUAAUCUCGGCAUCGAGGAUAGAUGAAAGGUGGCCUCUACAUGUAAGCUAUCACUGAAGGAGGGGAUUGCGUCUGAUUAGCUAGUUGGAGGGGUAACGGCCCACCAAGGCGAUGAUCAGUAGCCGGUCUGAGAGGAUGAACGGCCACAUUGGGACUGAGACACGGCCCAGACUCCUACGGGAGGCAGCAGUGGGGAAUCUUCCGCAAUGGACGAAAGUCUGACGGAGCAACGCCGCGUGAGUGAUGACGGCCUUCGGGUUGUAAAGCUCUGUUAAUCGGGACGAAAGGCCUUCUUGCGAAUAGUGAGAAGGAUUGACGGUACCGGAAUAGAAAGCCACGGCUAACUACGUG
rnacentral:rRNA from 1 species